AAGUUGUGUAUGCUCUAUGAUGAUCCGCCGCAGGCUUAGGCCUUUUCCCCGAUGAGCAGUGUUUUGUAUGCGAUGUCGCAUGUCUGGACUUGUUCAGUAGUGUUGCAAUUUUUACUCUUCGCUAAUAUCUUGUUGCUGUCGUCUUGGGUUAGACGUUGAGCUUCGUAGUGACGUGCGGUAACGCUACGAUUAUUCCUGAGCGCACCGUGUGUUUAAUGCGUUGUACUCUGUGCGUGCGUGCGUGCGUGCGUGUGCUUUUUUCCUGAUUUGUGACGUCCUCGUGGCAUGUCUGGACUUGUUUAGCAGUGUUGCAAUUCUUCCCGCUGCUAGUAUGUUGUUGGUGUCAUGUUGUGCUAGCCGCGUGGCGAUGUGAGGUUACCUGAGGUCUUAAGCCUUUUCCCUGCUCACCUAAGGAAAUUUGUGUAUCCCUGUCCUGUGCUUUCUUUACGCAAGGGUAAUGCGGCUGUGUAUGUGGCAUUAUGCAAGAAUUAUCUGGUGGCAGAAAUGGGUGUCUUUUUCUCAGUUUAUUGGCGUGCGCUACGGUUUCUUGCAGUUACAGCUAUUGGAGCACAAAAGCGUGUAAUUUUUCGCGGUUCUUUUCUCCUUUCACUGCUUUUACUCAGAAUGUAGAUGAGGGGAAACAGUCAGCAUCCAGGUAGAGCAGGAGAAAGCCGCUCGGCAGAGGAGAGUUCAUGAGAAUGGAAUUUGUUUGUUUUUUGUUAUAUGUUGAGUGUCAGUAUUCGCUUUCCUCGAUAUGUUGAGGAAGUCAGCCGUUAUAGGUAUUUGUGCAGAAAUGCUGGUAUCUGAGUGUGUGGAGUAGAAAUUCCUAUAAAGCACCUCUCCUUGUGCAUUCCUGAGCUGCUGUGUGUGCGCGCGUGCUUCUUUUUCCUGGUUUGCGACGUCACGAUGGCAUGUUGGGGCUUGUUUAGCAGUGUUGCAAUUUUACCCGCCGCUAUUAUCUUGUUAUUUGUGUAGGCCGCGUAGCGAUGUCCAGUGACUCUGCUAUUAUUCCUGAGGUCUUAAGCCUUUUCCCUGCUCACCUAAGGAAAUUUGUGUAUCCCUGUCCUGUGCUUUCUUUGCGACAGUGCGUCUGUGUAUGUGGCACUAUCAGAUACCAGACAUGAGUGUCUUUUUCUUGGUUUAUUGGCAUAUGCUUCAGGUUUUUUAAGUCAAGCACAAGUGCGCGCAAUUUUUCGCUGCUCUCUUCCUCAAAUCACCGAUUUUACGCAGAAGAAAGUCGCAUGGUGCAGCUGAGAAGAGGGUUUCUCUGAUUGUUUGUUAGAUGUUGUUAGGAGCUCGGUAUGUUGAGGAAGUCAGCUGUUAAAGGUAUCCGUGAAGAAAUGCUUGCAUUUGAGCACAGGAUAGGAAUUCCUGAAUUCACGGCACCCUCAGUGUAAAUUAAUGAUUUUGUAUGUGAGUCUGCUUCACUGCAUGACAAGGCUGAAAUGGGAAGAGAGAAAAAAUUGGAGCGCUUCAUUAAUAGCGAUCCAAGUAAUAGGGCAAUUAUAGUUUCCAUAGAAAGUAGAAUUUUAAUGAGUUCCUAAAAUUAUAGUUUUGUAGUAGUGUUUCUAAACUGCAAUGCAAGGUAGAAAAUCAUUAAUAUGGUAAGAAUGCCAUCAUGUUCCCGUAAAGGCGUUCUGUCUUGUGCUUUGGCGUGCGCGAAUGGAACUUUCCUCCCCGGCUUCCGCGUCUUUUUGCUCGCAGGUGUACCCUCAGACAACGAAUGUAUGAGCAUAGAAAGGGUCAUGUAUUACAUAAGCCUGGAGGAGAUGUUGAGUGGUCUCACUUAUUAUUUUAGAAGAGCAGUGGUAGUUUACUGUAAUUCUAAUGACCAUGAUGAGCCUUUGGGGUGAAAAUCGUUAAUAUGCAGGGUGCUUUUUUGUUGAAUUUUAAUGAGAGAAUGAAUGUCAUUAAGAGUAGGACAAAGGAAAUAAUCUUGCGAUUCAAUGAAUGAUAGGAGUCUUUGCCGCUGUCUUCUGCUUCAGACAGGAUGUGAUGACGUCACGCAGUCUGUAGCAAUGCAUUGACCGUUACUGGAAAAAAAAUUGUAGCAAUAGAAAAAUGGUGUGCAUUGCCCUGGACGGAUUUAUGAUGAGCACUGUUUUUGAAUAAGAGGAGUGCGUGUGCUUAGAAAUAGUUUGAUGCUGGUUUUCUUCUUUGUUUCUUUUCGCUUUUUUCCCCUUGUUGUCUGACAAACAUGCGCUGACAUGCCUGGGCCUGUUCUGACAUGCUUUCCUUCUACAUGCAGUUUUUUUCUUUUUGUACAAGGAAUAUUCUUGACGAUGACGAUAGUGCUGCCUUGAAUAGGAGUAGAGCUAUUCUUAAUAAUUUUGCGAUUCAUUUAGUUCAGAGAGUAACCGCGAGGGGGACAGGUGUGUGACUUUAUUCUGGAGGAACAAAGCGUCAUUAUUCACUUAGCUGCAUGGCUCUCGGCUGGGAUGGAUAUGUCUUGCUGAACCAUUAUUUUUUCCCUGUGCAGUAAGACUUUGGGAAUGAAAUGCUACAAUCGUCUCUUGUCUAUGGUGCUCUUCUGCAAUAGUUCCCUAUGCAAUCAUUAUAGUAGAAUAAAGGAAAUAACCUUGGGAUAGUGAUUCAAUAAAUAACAGGUCCCCUGUCUAGAGCGUACGCGUCCUUGAGCCACGCACCUGCAUGAUGACGUCAUACCGCAACAGUAUUGUUUCAGGUUGACCUUGUCUAGAGGAGCAUUAGUGGAAAAAAACAGGGUAGCCCUGAAACAAUAGGAUGACGUCACGACCAAUGACAACGGCCUGCAGGGGGCGCAGGGAUUCACUUCUCUCUUGGACGCUGACGGCUCUGGACACGCAAAUUCUGCUCCUGGCGUUGGCCGUCAGUGGAAGAGCGUAGCUUCGGUGGGGUUCUGUCUGCCUCUGAUGGGGUGAGGAUGUGUGGUUCGUCACUGGUGAAUGGUGUUCGACGAUGCAGGUGGAUUUUGUGACGAGCUGAUUUACAAUGAGGGAAUGCUGUGAACGGGAAAAUGAUGGUGAGUGUCUUUUUCACUCUGUUCAAGUGUUUGUUUGUUUUCCUCUGUUGCCCAGCAGUCGUACAAUUUGUCCUGACGUGUUCUGACAUGCCCCGAUAUGCAUGCUUUCCUUUGUUGACGCUUUGUAUUUUUUCUUUUUUGACAACGAACAUUGUUGACUUGACGAUAGCGCUACCCUGAGUUCUGCGCUCCUGUUUACCCGUACUCUGUGUUGAUUUGUUGAGUGCCUAGUCCUCUUAUUUGACAUUGAUGGAGUCACGUGUUGGGAUAUUUUGUUCUUUUGCAAGUGUCAUUUAGUAAGACUUUGGAAUUCCUACGAUCAGCUUUCAUGCAUGGUGCUCUUCUGCAAUAGUUUGCUAUUCAAUCGUUAUAGAAGAAUAAAGGAAAUAAUCAUGGGAUAGUGAUUCAAUAAAUAAUAGGUCCCCUGUCUAGAGCGUACGCGUCCUUGAGCCACGCAGGUGCAUGAUGACGUCAUACUGUGGCUUCAUUGCAGAUUGACCAAAGAAGCAUUAGUGGAAAAAAACAGGGUAGCCCUGAGACAAUAGGAUGACGUCACGACCAAUGAGAACGGCCAGCAGGGGGCGCAGGAAUGCUCUUCUCUCUUAGCCUCACGACCAAUGAGAACGGCCAGCAGGGGGCGCAGAAAUGCUCUUCACUCUUAGCCUCUCGGAGGUGGUCGCCCCAGAGGACGCUAGGAGCGCGUAUGCGUAGCGGCCGCGGAGCGGCGCCCCGGUCAGUUUCUCUCCGGCUGUCGCGGAAAGCAGACGUGCGCUCCCCGCGCUCGCUCAGUUUCUGGCUGGCUGUAACGCAGAGCAGUCGCAUCGGUCUGCGCUCCUGCUGUGAGCUGUCCUAACUUGCCCCAGACAUGCCGUGAUGAUGUCACAGCUGGCGUCACAGGAUGUCUGGAACUGGUGGUCAUAGCUGCGAUGCUUUGCAACCUGCCUCUGUGCUCCGUCGAUGGUCAGCGGCCGUUACGGACCGCUUUCUUCAAGAUGGCGUCGUUGAUCUUCACUUAAACUUCUCUCCACUCUAUCUCUAUCUAUUUUUUUCUUUUUCAUGGACUCUCAUAGUGCACAACGCUCAGCUGGUCUGGACACGAGUUAGAUGCUCCCCAAUUAGUGUGGUGGCUCCCUGGAGGGUGCUGAUUAAUGUGGGGGGUCCCAAUUAGCUCUAAUUGCUAAUUAAAUCGUGUUCAUGCCAGUUGGGCGUUGUGCACUAUGAGAGUCCAGUACCUACUACUCUGCAGGUGAACGGUAAGACAAGUUUGAUUACUUUUUUGUGACUGAAGGAAGUAAUGCAGGUUUACCACAUUAAGUGUAUUACGUACAACAUUUAUGAGUCACUCGGUACGUUAGCGGCGUUUCAUUGUGCAGUGCAUUGCCGUAACUUGUACGUUUCUGAUAUGCCGUUAAUCAAAUUAUGUGUGGUUAUGCUAGUUGCCCCUCAUGCGCGUCGCAGCCGUUCAUUCACUGUGAUCUACAAACAUUCGUGACAAAUGCCUUGGUGUUCAAAUACGAAAUCAAGAUCGAUUGCCUAUCAUAGCAGUGAUUUUCGUGCAGAGUUACGGAUCAUCAAUAUAUUUUUUGUUUUGUUUUAGUUCUCCCGCAGCCAUUGGCAACAACGACGCACAUAGCUCAGCAUUGGCUUUUGAACUGCCCUUCGAUGUCGAAGCACCUAAAGUGAAGCCUCCAGUGAAGCCUGUUACAAGACGUAAAAAGAUAUGUACUGUAGCUUUUUCGAGGCAGUUCCCGAGGACAAAUAAAGUUGAUUUGUCAUACA